rnacentral:rRNA from 1 species
AACGACUCUCGGCAACGGAUAUCUAGGCUCUCGCAUCGAUGAAGAACGUAGCGAAAUGCGAUACUUGGUGUGAAUUGCAGAAUCCCGCGAAUCAUCGAGUUUUUGAACGCAAGUUGCGCCCGAAGCCAUUCGGCCGAGGGCACGUCUGCCUGGGUGUCACGCAU